rnacentral:lncRNA from 1 species
GAGUCCAGGGCGGCUUCUCUUCAUUCACCUAGUACCUGACGACCCUCGUUCUCCAGCCUGAGCUUGCUCUGUCCCAGCUGCCAUGAGUCGCUUCAAGGUGUCCAAGUUUCGGCAUAUGGAGGCCCGGCCGUCCCGCCGAGAGGUGAGCCCGGCCAGUGGACCCCACUCCCUGGCUUCUGGUCCCGGAGGACUGCCAUUCCCAGUGCCUGCCUGUGCAGUGCACACUCUGGGUUGUGAAGACCCUCACCCCACCUCGCCCCAUCUGUCCACCCGGAACUUCUCCCUUUAGAUGAACCCUAGAGUUCAGGCCGCCCCUUCACUGCUCAGAGGACAGAGUCCGGAGGUCUGAUGACGCGCCCUAGUAGUUGGGUGAUCCCGGAGGUCGGCCUGGCCGGUUCGCCUCCCCCUGUUACCCCAGGAGGCCUCGCAGCACUCCCAGACGCGAACAGGCCUCUGUUUCCGGUCGGCCUUGCUGGGAACCUGGCUGGGAAACUGUCGACGCCGGUCUCCCCCUUCCAGCAGUCUAGGAUCACCCCUGCUCCGGGCCGGCCGGGCUGUGGGAGAGAUGCAUCUCUUUCUUGUGGUCUCAGUGAGAGGGAAGGUAUCAUCUGGAGAGGGAGCCCCUGGGGCCAGGCAGGCUUCCUCCCUCGAGUUUCUGCCACUCUUCCUUGUCUACUGGUGCAAGCUCUUCCUUUACUGGGGUGAUGAUACUAGCGGUUGUUGGGGCCUGGAGAAGCCUAGAGCAGGUGGAUCCCAGAUGGAGUGUCAAGAAGGACACUCCACUCGGUGAGGCACUGGCCUUUCUCCCCCUGUGUUAUUUGGACCUCUAGUGUCCCAAAGCAAGUUAGGACAACCGUGCUCCAUUUUCAUUCUCUGGACAGUUAGCCUUUCUGUACCUAUUGUGUGCUGCUCAGCUCUCUAAAACAGUGAACAUUGUGACAUUUCCCCUUCUCUGUGGAACUUAACAGCCUCUGGUCAGCAAGCACAAUAUAAAUCCACUGAAGAAUCAGAACACCCGGGGGUAUGUGGUGGGCUGUGAUGUAAAGAAGUGAAGUAGAGUUGAACGUAAUAGUAUUGUGGAGGACAGUGCCCAGGUGGGUGGAUUUCAACAGAGGCCAGAAGGGUGAGAAGAAAAAAAGCCAGUAAAGAAAAAGAAAGUGGCCGGGCGGUGGUGGUGCAGGCCUUUAAUCCUAGCACUUGGCCGAGGCCAGCCUGGUCUACAGAGUGAGUUCCAGGGCAGCCAGGGCUACACAGAGAAUCCCUGACUCGAAAAACCAAAAAAAGAAAAAAGAAAAAAAGAAAGUGAACCCAGGGUGGACAGAGGCCAUUAGCCAGGCAAAGCUGGUGACAGAUGAGUUACAGGGCAGCCCUUCAGAGGAAGAAGUUGAGUUUUGUUAUGAGUAUAGUAUGGCGCCAUUGAAAGCUUGAGAGGAAGUACACAGUGCUUAGAUUUGGAUGCAGACUAUUACUAAGAGUGCAGUAAUGAUUAGUGGACGGAUCUGGAGAGACCUUCAGGGCUCUGUGGCUUCUCUCUGUAUGGACCUCCUUCUAGUAAGUUAAUCAGACAGGCCCACAGAACCGGGGGCCUCAGGAGUGCUUGUUACUGAGGCAAGAAGGAUUGCAGAUCUGUGCUUUGACACCAACAGAGGGAAUGGGGUCCUUGAUCUCAGUUGCAGGGCGAGCGCUCUUCUUUCCCAUAUGCGGGGUGUCACCAUUACUGCCUUCACUCAUCCAGGGCGGAGCAUGCUCUGAGGAAGCCAGAUCUUUAUCUUCUCCCUACUGAGUGUGAUGUUCACAAGGGGCCGUGGGCCCUGGCUUCAGCAGAGUAGCCACAGGAGCACACCCAUCUUCUGUUAGAUGGUCACUUCCUUGCCACUUUCAUACUCUUGUUUUUUUUUUUUUUUUUUUUUCUUUUUGAGGCAGGGUUUCUCUGUGUAGCCCUGGCUGUCCUGGAACUCACUCUGUAGACUAGGCUGGCCUCAAACUCAGAAAUCCACCUGCCUCUGCCUCCCGAGUGCUGGGAUUAAAGGCCUGCGCCACCACUGCCCAGCUCCUUCCCACUCUUUGAACUGAAAUAUUCCCCCCAGAGACACAUGCAUUUCCUCUGACAGCCGCCUCCUCAUCCUUAUUAGGGAACUGAUUUGCUAAAUAGAAUCACCCUCUGAGCUAGUUAGAUUAUUUCAAGAACAUUUGCUAUUUUUUAAGGGACUGAGUGGGGGCAGACC